rnacentral:lncRNA from 1 species
CUUGUUCAGCCCAGUCUGGAGUGGCAUGCUCUUCUUGGGUCAGCUGGAAGAUUCAGGCCCAGUCGCUUCUGAAGGUACAGGAAACUAAAAUUGAGCAAAGAAUAGUGUUUGAAACCAGCUGGAGUCCAGCCAGACUCUACUCAACUGCUAAUCUGUACUGCUCCCCUAGGUGACAGUUGAAUGUCCUGAGAGAAGCUAAAAUUCAGGAGGCUCUACUUUCCUUUUUUAUAAAUGAGUUCAUAAGAAUACAAGGCACAGUGGAGAGCCUGUUGUUCUCAUAUAGAGGAAUAAAGAUUCAACAUACUCCUUUUGACA